rnacentral:lncRNA from 1 species
UGUCUCGCUGAUGCUGCACUCUAUCGGAUCUCCUUAAUGGUACCUCUACUGGCUCUGAAUUCGAUUCACCAAUCAAAUCUAAUUCUAUAUGUGUCGGUUCUUUUACCUCAUGAACUUCAUCAAGUUCAAUUUUACAGGCAUUAGCUCCUUCACCGAGGAACUCCUUUUUUCAAAAAGACUUUCCGACUGCUAACAAACACCUUUUAUUCUGUAGCGAGAUAGAAGUAGUACCUUUUAGUUUCCUUUGGGUACUCUAUGAAAAAGCAUCUAUCGAACUUUAGUCCAAGCUUAUUUAUCUUUAAACACUCGAUAUAAGAUGGACACCUUCAAACCCUA